AAAGAAUGACUGUUGGAGGUUUUAAUCUUCUCCUUUCGAGAAUAUUUUUAUUAUUGCUAGAUGUACGCCUAAAAAACAUAACCAUCCGCGGCAACGCACGGACAUUGCCACUGGAGGUUGUCCAAAUCUUACUAAGCUCAACAUCUAUGGCUGCUAGGCUUUUAGUGACGAUGGUCUCAAGUUAUGUAGUAGUUACUAUAUAAAGUUGAAAACUUUCAACCUUUGUGGGUCUGUGAAAGCAGCCACCAAUAAGGCUCUGAAGGCUAAAGGAUACAACUGUCGACAACAACUUGAGUCGAUAAAUUUUGGUUGGUGUGAGGGAGUUAGUGAUGUUGGAGAGAUGAGUUUACCUUAUGGGUGUCCUAAUCUCCAUGCUAUUUACUUGUGUGGUCAUGUCUUUAUAACAGGUCCGUUUGGAGCUACAAAAUAAUGGACAAAUGGUUACAUCUGAUGAUCAUGCAGUUGUACUUGGAUACUUGAAUGCAACUUUCAUACAAGAGGUUUCAAGAAUUUGUUCCAAGUAGUUUUAUAGUAAUGUUUACAAAAUAUAAAUUUGUUCUUUUGUCUUUGAAUAGAAGUGCUCUUUGGAAACAGGCCCUGGACUUUUUUGUAAAUCAAUACUUCUA